UACGGAGGGAGCUAGCGUUGUUCGGAAUUACUGGGCGUAAAGCGCACGUAGGCGGCUUUGUAAGUUAGAGGUGAAAGCCUGGGGCUCAACUCCAGAAUUGCCUUUAAGACUGCAUCGCUUGAAUCAUGGAGAGGCGGGUGGAAUUCCGAGUGUAGAGGUGAAAUUCGUAGAUAUUUCGGAAGAACACCAGUGGCGAAGGCGGCCCGCUGGACAUGUAUUGACGCUGAGGUGCGAAAGCGUGGGGAGCAAACAGG
rnacentral:rRNA from 1 species